rnacentral:ncRNA from 1 species
UGUAAAUAUAUGGAUAAGAGAAGGGCGGCUUGAGAAAUUUUGGACCCCUUUAUUUAUCUACACAAUUGGGCCCAUUUGAAAAACUUGGUACCUACAUGAGGAGGUAAGCUGCCAAAAGAAGGAUUAGUAGGAGGCCCAUCAACCCUAUUGUACAUAAUUUUUUUAAAAAUAUUUCAAGACAAAACCUAAGCAUAACGAUUUUGGCGGCGUCAUUGUUGGUGCUCUGAUCAAAUCCCCCUUGUUCGCUUUGUCUCUGAUGUUGUCUCCCACUUGGAUCUUUCUAUCACUGUGAUCCCCUUGCUAUCUCUUUUUCUCUGAUAAAAUCCCCAUUGGACGCGGGUUCUCUCUUGCUCUGUCUCUAUCACGGGGUUUGGGUGCUUUACGUCCUCCAACUAAAAUCUAUGAAUGGGCGUGGUCUUCCCCUACAAUACCAAUGUCCAAGCAAAUCCCCCUUGGCCGCGAGUUCUCUCUUCUGCCCAGUGCUCUGAAUGUUAAAGUGAAUAAAUUCAACCAAGCAUGGGUAAAUGGCGGGAGUAACUAUGACUCUCUUAAGGUAGCCAAAUUACUGGCCAUCUAAUUAGUGAUGCACAUGAAUGGAUUAACUAGAUUCCCACUAUCCCUAUCUACUAUCUAGCAAAACCACAACCAAGGGAAUGGGCUUGG